UCCUGACUGACCGAUAGUGAACCAGUACCGUGAGGGAAAGGCGAAAAGAACCCCGGCGAGGGGAGUGAAAAAGAACCUGAAACCGUGUACGUACAAGCAGUGGGAGCACGCUUAGGCGUGUGACUGCGUACCUUUUGUAUAAUGGGUCAGCGACUUAUAUUCUGUAGCAAGGUUAACCGAAUAGGGGAGCCGAAGGGAAACCGAGUCUUAACUGGGCGUUAAGUUGCAGGGUAUAGACCCGAAACCCGGUGAUCUAGCCAUGGGCAGGUUGAAGGUUGGGUAACACUAACUGGAGGACCGAACCGACUAAUGUUGAAAAAUUAGCGGAUGACUUGUGGCUGGGGGUGAAAGGCCAAUCAAACCGGGAGAUAGCUGGUUCUCCCCGAAAGCUAUUUAGGUAGCGCCUCGUGAAUUCAUCUCCGGGGGUAGAGCACUGUUUCGGCAAGGGGGUCAUCCCGACUUACCAACCCGAUGCAAACUGCGAAUACCGGAGAAUGUUAUCACGGGAGACACACGGCGGGUGCUAACGUCCGUCGUGAAGAGGGAAACAACCCA
rnacentral:rRNA from 1 species